CAGGAGAUCCACAAGAGGAAGUGAUGUCACAGCAGACACAGAGAGUGUCCAUCCAGACCCUAACAGUGACCCUAACAGUGACAUGUACUCACCUCUGAACAUGAAUACCAGGUCACCAGAGUAUGACACCCUGACAAAUGUGAGGGACUCCCCUAGUGACACAGUCCCUCAGAUAGAUGCUGAGCCCUCAGAUUAUGAGAACUGAAGAGAACCACCACAGAACCUGGACUGAAGAGAACCACCACAGAACCUGGACUGAAGAGAACCACCACAGAACCUGGACUGAAGACAACC